rnacentral:rRNA from 1 species
CCUACGGGUGGCUGCAGUGGGGAAUAUUGCACAAUGGGCGAAAGCCUGAUGCAGCAACGCCGCGUGAGCGAUGGAGGCCUCGGGUCGUAAAGCUCCGUCCUCAAGGAAGAUAAUGACGGUACUUGAGGCGGAAGCCCCGCCCAACUACGUGCCAGCAGCCGCGGUAAUACGUAGGGGGCUAGCGUUAUCCGUAAUUACUGGGCGUAAGGGGUGCGUAGGUGGUGUCUUAAGUCCGAGGUGAAAGGCUACGGCUCACCCGUAGUAAGCCUUUGAUACUGGGGAACUUGAGUGCAGGAGAGGAGAGUGGAAUUCCUGGUGUAGCGGUGAAAUGCGUAGAUAUUAGGAGGAACACCAGUUGCGAAGGCGGCUCUCUGGACUGUAACUGACACUGAGGCACGAAAGCGUGGGGAGCAAACAGGAUUAGAUACCCUUGUAGUC